GAUGACAUUUUAAUUUUGUAUUGUGUUGUUUCUAUAAUGCUCAAAUUUUGCAUAAAUGAUCGAAAAUGUUAUUGGAUUUACAAAAUGGAAAAUGAAAAUGGGAAUUUGUUCAACAUAUCUUGAUCCAAGAAUGUGUGUCGUACUUGAACUUGCAUCACUGAUGAAACUAGGGAAUUGCUUCAAAAAAUUUUGUAUUGUUUCUAUAAUUUCAAGCUUGUGAGUUGGUGAAAUACAAAGCCUAUUAUAUAACAAUCCGAUAUCCCUCUACGACACAAAUUUCAUUAUCU
rnacentral:lncRNA from 1 species